rnacentral:tmRNA from 2 species
GGGGAUGUAAAGGCUUCGACAAAUUAUUUGAAAUAUUGAUAGCGAGUAGUGGAUGGUUGCUUUGGCCACUAUAAAAAAGCAAAAUUAAAUAUAAAAGCUGACAAUAGAGAAUUAGCUUACGCUGCCUAAGCGCAGUGUCAUCUUAUAAUUAAAGCCUACUGUUUUUUAUAAGAUGUCGACUAAAGUAGGAAACAAAGGUAUCUGCUUCAUUCAGACACUGGGUAACUUAAUUGAAUAUACUAAAACAAUUUUGUUUAUUUUAAAAUUUUAGUGAACAAAUAAAAUAAACUGCACUCGGAGAAAUCAAUAUGGAAAAUCUUUUGGACAUGGGUUCAACUCCCAUCAUCUCCACCA